rnacentral:tRNA from 1 species
AAGAAGUUAGUUUAAAAUAAAAUAUUAGAUUGUCAAACUAAAGUUAUUAUAAUUAUAAUACCUCUUA